UACGUAGGGUGCAAGCGUUGUCCGGAAUUAUUGGGCGUAAAGAGCUCGUAGGCGGUUUGUCGCGUCUGCUGUGAAAACCCGAGGCUCAACCUCGGGCCUGCAGUGGGUACGGGCAGACUAGAGUGCGGUAGGGGAGAUUGGAAUUCCUGGUGUAGCGGUGGAAUGCGCAGAUAUCGGGAGGAACACCGGUGGCGAAGGCGGGACUCUGGGCCGUAACUGAGGCUGAGGAGCGAAAGCAUGGGGAGCGAACAGG
rnacentral:rRNA from 1 species